AGAGUUUGAUCAUGGCUCAGAACGAACGCUGGCGGCAUGCCUAACACAUGCAAGUCGAACGAGACCUUCGGGUCUAGUGGCGCACGGGUGCGUAACGCGUGGGAAUCUGCCCUUCGGUUCGGAAUAACUCAGGGAAACUUGAGCUAAUACCGGAUAAUGACGUAAGUCCAAAGAUUUAUCGCCGAAGGAUGAGCCCGCGUAGGAUUAGCUUGUUGGUGGGGUAAUGGCCCACCAAGGCGACGAUCCUUAGCUGGUCUGAGAGGAUGAUCAGCCACACUGGGACUGAGACACGGCCCAGACUCCUACGGGAGGCAGCAGUGGGAAUAUUGGACAAUGGGCGAAAGCCUGAUCCAGCAAUGCCGCGUGAGUGAUGAAGGCCUUAGGGUUGUAAAGCUCUUUACCCGGGAUGACAAUGACAGUACCGGGAGAAUAAGCUCCGGCUAACUCCGUG
rnacentral:rRNA from 1 species